GUAGGGAAAAAGAAAAAGAUACAAAAUGAAGGCUGCAAGGAGGAGUGUGUUCUGGGAUGGACCAGAAAUCUGAGUCCUGAAACCUGGAGGCUGCUCCUGUAGCUGUCACCUCUCUCCUUCCCUCCCUCUUUCUUUCUCCGAGGCCUUGGGGGGGGGGCCCUCCCUAUCCAAUUAGCAGAGAAGGAGCAAUCAAGGGGAAGUUGUUAAUUUGCUGAUGCUCAUUAGGAGCUCUUAACACAGAGGCUGUUGAGGUCUGAUGGUGUCAGAUGAUGGUGUGGUGUGUGUGUGUGUGUGUGUGUGUGUGUGUGUGUGUGUGAUGCAAGAUCAGAAUUAUAUCCAUUGCAGCUCCUUUGCUCCACUUACAGGCUGGUGAAGCUCUGAGAGAAGGAAGGUGAGAAGCAGGUCUCAGGGACAUGGUUCUGGGUUUGAGUUUGAGGAAUGAACCUGACAUAGAGGGAAGAAGCUGAUGAGAAUUUGUGAGGGGUUGGGAGUAAGAGGUACCCUAGAAACCAGUGAAGAUGUCUCUCCAGGGAUAGGGGUUUAGGUCUGGUGAGAGAUUGAGGUCCAUUCAGCAGGACCCAGAGCGCCAAGCUGCCAAAAUAAAGAUAGUAUCUCGCCUUCCGGCUGGGGAGCUGUCCAACGGCACAAGCGCUGCUGGUGGGCUGCCAUGCCCCUGGGCAGCCACCAGGUGACAGCACUCUCUCGGAUACUUAAACUCCACUUAAAGGGCAAUGGGGGAGGCGGCCUGUGAAACUAGGAAUUACUCUAGGAGGGUCGCAAACGGGGUUUAAGUGAUGAUUCUAGCCCUGGGUCUAGUCUGGUUCCAGGCUCUCCAAUGUCCUCGGGGGAGGGGAGGACCAUCUUGGAACAUCUGUAACAUCUUUGCAAACCCCACAAGCUGAGCGACACGUGGAGCCUCUUCUAAUGGCUGCAAAUUGCUUCAAUCACCUGGGAUGUUACCGAGGGAGCAGGGAGCAGCGUGGGUGGAGGGAAGGAAGGUGAUGAGGUGAGGUGGCGGCAGGCGAGGACUGAUUGAGGCCAAUGAACAGCCGCAGGAGUAGUCCGGGGAAAGAUAAAAGGCAUGAAUCAGGUAUCCAGGCUCCAAGAACAGGACCUGACCCCACCACGCAAUACCACCGGCAGGACCCUUGGCCAGUCCAAGCUUCAGUUUCUUCAUCCUUAUGAUGAAGGUUGUAUUUAUUUCACCUUGUUUUUCAAUGAUUAUGUGAAUCACUGAUGGAAAAUGCAUAGUUCAUUGAUCUGUGUUUGUAAAUCCCCAGUAACAAAUGUUACUGGCACUCUGAUUUAGAUCUGGAAGAAAAAAAAAUAGCCAUAUCAGCCAUAUCAGGACAGACUUCGAGAUGGUAGCUCCUAAUUCGGGGAGUUGGGUCCUCCCUGUACUCCUGUCUGGCCUUCUCUACAUCCUUUUGAACCUGUUUCACAUGGGGUGUUGCAGAAUAAGCAGGGGUUGCCUUGAUUUCCAGAGGAGAGAGUACUCUGGAUAAGGCCUGCAGGAACCGGAGGAAGAGGGUGUUGCAAGCCAAAUUUCAUCAUCGGCGGCAGCCCCAACAGAGGGAGGAGGAGGCGAGGGGCAAACAGACGGCAGAGGCAGCAGCGCUGGCGCAGAAAGGGGAGCUGUUUGGAAACAGGGUGUAGGGUGGCCCUAUCAGCCUCGUCACGCAUAAGGCUGCCUGUGGAGAGCUGGAACUCUCUGCCCACGUGGAACACGCGUGGGCACACGUGUGUGACACCUAGAGCUUGGGGGCACACGGGCACACACUUCUUUAGAAGCUGACAGCAUCCUGAUCCUUGCCUAGCAUCGGUCUCGAAAAGAGUCCCCCCCCCAAAAAAAAAAAAAAA